GAUGAACGCUGGCGGCGUGCUUAAUACAUGCAAGUCGAACGGAGUGCUAGAAAUAGUACUUAGUGGCGAACGGGUGAGUAACGCGUUGGUGACCUGCCCCGAAGAGAGGGAUAACAGUUCGAAAGGACUGCUAAUACCGCAUGAUCUCUGGCUAGUUAGAGAAGCCAGAGGAAAGGAGAAAUCCGCUUUGGGAGGGGCCUGCGUCCCAUCAGCUAGUUGGUAAGGUAAAAGCUUACCAAGGCGACGACGGGUAGGGGACCUGAGAGGGUGGCCCCCCACACUGGCACUGAAACACGGGCCAGACACCUACGGGUGGCUG
rnacentral:rRNA from 1 species